GCAAGAAAGCUGCCUUCACAUCUAUCUGCUCCAACUUCAUAUCAUGCUGAGCAAUAGUGACAGCAACACCCGAAUUGAAGUAUGAUGGACCACUGGAGAGAAUACUUCAAUAUAGUUCACUUUCUCUUUCUGAGAGUACCUUUGGCUACAAGCCUUACCUUGAAUCUGACUCCAUCUUGUUUUGAAGGUGCUUCCUUCUGUGUG
rnacentral:lncRNA from 1 species